rnacentral:rRNA from 1 species
AAGACUGGGAUAACUUCGGGAAACCGGAGCUAAUACCGGAUAAUAUUUUUGAACCGCAUGGUUCAAAAGUGAAAGACGGUCUUGCUGUCACUUAUAGAUGGAUCCGCGCUGCAUUAGCUAGUUGGUAAGGUAACGGCUUACCAAGGCAACGAUGCAUAGCCGACCUGAGAGGGUGAUCGGCCACACUGGAACUGAGACACGGUCCAGACUCCUACGGGAGGCAGCAGUAGGGAAUCUUCCGCAAUGGGCGAAAGCCUGACGGAGCAACGCCGCGUGAGUGAUGAAGGUCUUCGGAUCGUAAAACUCUGUUAUUAGGGAAGAACAUAUGUGUAAGUAACUGUGCACAUCUUGACGGUACCUAAUCAGAAAGCCACGGCUAACUACGUGCCAGCAGCCGCGGUAAUACGUAGGUGGCAAGCGUUAUCCGGAAUUAUUGGGCGUAAAGCGCGCGUAGGCGGUUUUUUAAGUCUGAUGUGAAAGCCCACGGCUCAACCGUGGAGGGUCAUUGGAAACUGGAAAACUUGAGUGCAGAAGAGGAAAGUGGAAUUCCAUGUGUAGCGGUGAAAUGCGCAGAGAUAUGGAGGAACACCAGUGGCGAAGGCGACUUUCUGGUCUGUAACUGACGCUGAUGUGCGAAAGCGUGGGGAUCAAACAGGAUUAGAUACCCUGGUAGUCCACGCCGUAAACGAUGAGUGCUAAGUGUUAGGGGGUUUCCGCCCCUUAGUGCUGCAGCUAACGCAUUAAGCACUCCGCCUGGGGAGUACGACCGCAAGGUUGAAACUUAAAGGAAUUGACGGC